rnacentral:rRNA from 1 species
GUGAACAUGMGGAAGGAUCAUU